rnacentral:rRNA from 1 species
GACGAACCGUCCAAACGUUAUUCGGAAUCACUGGGCUUACAGAGUUCGUAGGCGGUCUGGAAAGUUGGGUGUGAAAUCCCUCGGCCCAACCGAGGAACUGCGCUUGAAACUACCAGACUCGAGGGGGAUAGAGGAAAGCGGAACUGAUGGUGGAGCGGUGAAAUGCGUUGAUAUCAUCAGGAACACCGGUGGCGAAGGCGGCAUCCUGGACCAAUACUGACGCUGAGGAGCGAAAGCUAGGGGAGCAAACGGG